GGCUUUAGACCCGAAACCGAGUGAUCUAGCCAUGUGCAGGAUGAAGGUGGGGUAACACCCACUGGAGGUCCGAACCAGUGCCCGUUGAAAAGGUCUUGGAUGACGUGUGGCUAGGGGUGAAAGGCCAAUCAAACUCGGAAAUAGCUGGUUCUCCGCGAAAGCUAUUUAGGUAGCGCCUCGCACGAAUACUCUGGGGGGUAGAGCACUGGAUGGGCAAGGGGUGCUUACCGCAUUACCGAUCCUAACCAAACUCCGAAUACCCGAAAGUACUGCGCGGGAGACACACGGCGGGUGC
rnacentral:rRNA from 1 species